rnacentral:lncRNA from 1 species
CUCAGGAUAUGGAUAAAAGUUAUGUGGAGUCUGGUGUGGGUGGGGAUUGGAGUGUGCGGGUUUGCAGGAAUUUGCAAGAUUGGGAGGUGGAGGAUUAUUGCAAUCUGUUGAAAUGUUUGGCUGGGAUCAGAAUGGGUAAUCAAAGGGAUGAAAGGCUGUGGACUCCGUACAAGUCGGGCACUUCCUCUGUAAAAUCAUUC